rnacentral:rRNA from 1 species
GGGACACGUGGUAUCCUGUCUGAAUAUGGGGGGACCAUCCUCCAAGGCUAAAUACUCCUGACUGACCGAUAGUGAACCAGUACCGUGAGGGAAAGGCGAAAAGAACCCCGGCGAGGGGAGUGAAAAAGAACCUGAAACCGUGUACGUACAAGCAGUGGGAGCACGCUUAGGCGUGUGACUGCGUACCUUUUGUAUAAUGGGUCAGCGACUUAUAUUCUGUAGCAAGGUUAACCGAAUAGGGGAGCCGAAGGGAAACCGAGUCUUAACUGGGCGUUAAGUUGCAGGGUAUAGACCCGAAACCCGGUGAUCUAGCCAUGGGCAGGUUGAAGGUUGGGUAACACUAACUGGAGGACCGAACCGACUAAUGUUGAAAAAUUAGCGGAUGACUUGUGGCUGGGGGUGAAAGGCCAAUCAAACCGGGAGAUAGCUGGUUCUCCCCGAAAGCUAUUUAGGUAGCGCCUCGUGAAUUCAUCUCCGGGGGUAGAGCACUGUUUCGGCAAGGGGGUCAUCCCGACUUACCAACCCGAUGCAAACUGCGAAUACCGGAGAAUGUUAUCACGGGAGACACACGGCGGGUGCUAACGUCCGUCGUGAAGAGGGAAACAACCCAGACCGCCAGCUAAGGUCCCAAAGUCAUGGUUAAGUGGGAAACGAUGUGGGAAGGCCCAGACAGCCAGGAUGUUGGCUUAGAAGCAGCCAUCAUUUAAAGAAAGCGUAAUAGCUCACUGGUCGAGUCGGCCUGCGCGGAAGAUGUAACGGGGCUAAACCAUGCACCGAAGCUGCGGCAGCGACGCUUAUGCGUUGUUGGGUAGGGGAGCGUUCUGUAAGCCUGUGAAGGUGUGCUGUGAGGCAUGCUGGAGGUAUCAGAAGUGCGAAUGCUGACAUAAGUAACGAUAAAGCGGGUGAAAAGCCCGCUCGCCGGAAGACCAAGGGUUCCUGUCCAACGUUAAUCGGGGCAGGGUGAGUCGACCCCUAAGGCGAGGCCGAAAGGCGUAGUCGAUGGGAAACAGGUUAAUAUUCCUGUACUUGGUGUUACUGCGAAGGGGGGACGGAGAAGGCUAUGUUGGCCGGGCGACGGUUGUCCCGGUUUAAGCGUGUAGGCUGGUUUUCCAGGCAAAUCCGGAAAAUCAAGGCUGAGGCGUGAUGACGAGGCACUACGGUGCUGAAGCAACAAAUGCCCUGCUUCCAGGAAAAGCCUCUAAGCAUCAGGUAACAUCAAAUCGUACCCCAAACCGACACAGGUGGUCAGGUAGAGAAU